UGCGGCAUCUUUCUGAACUCCCCUGACUGUCCGAGCUUCCAUAAUACCAUCCAGACUUCUCCAAUAAUGAACUCCUCCAUUCAUCUAUUGGACUACUCCAAAUGCUCUCUGAGCUUCACUAUCAAUCGAUUUUCUACAGUGAUCGGCUAUUCUCCGAAUCUCUUCCAGACUUCUUCCAGCUACGAUCGACUCUACUCCGAACUCCUAUUACAAGCGGACUUCAUCUGAGCUCCUACAAGAGUUAGACUUCAUCCGAGCUUCUACAGUAGAUGGAUCACG
rnacentral:lncRNA from 1 species